GUUUUCCAACAGCUAUCAAACCGACUGCCCCUCCUGUUGAUACGAGCAGCAUGUAUCCGUUUGGCCCUGAGCAGAAUGACACAGAGUUUCUUCUCGAGGAUUCAUGGUAUUAUGACUCCCGGCGAUGCCUACGAAUUAAUACAGACUGGAAGGGAUUCCCCUUCUUCACAGGCAGACAUUAUAAACUGCAUAUAUGCCGCGACGGUAAAAUCCAACUGAACUAUGAGUGGAGCUGGUGGUGGCCGCAGAAGUUUGGUAUCUACCGAUGGUUCAGAAAUGUGGCUGUUAUUGCACCUUUUUGGGCUACGACCGAUACUCACUUCGCCUUCAGAAAAAAUCACUCCAGGGUGUAUUAUCAAGUGUACGAAGAAAAUAAGGGAAGCUCCAAUGAGAUUA